CCCGAUGACAUUGUAAAGAACCAAUGGAGGAUUGCACGUGGUGACCACUGACAAAAACCCAGGACAAAGAUGGCUCCUCUGGACACACAGCUCACAAGGAAUUCUGCAUUAUCUACUUGGCUGAAAGUACACCGAUAUCACCAUGCGCUGCUGCAGUACAUUCCUGCUCUUUGCCCCACUGUCACAGUUUACACAACAGUCAGCGAUCACAAGAAGCUCCUGCCAUUCACUGUUGGCAACCUCUGACUCUUGUGGAUGGGACAAACGCAUUGUAAAAAUUUGAAGAAAAUGAAUGAAUUUAUGCAUCUGUAAUGUAGUAGGUCACAGUUUAAUACUCACGUAUGUUUUAAUCCACAUUCAAUUCAUACACACUUACAGAAAAUACAUAAGCAUCUGUACCAGUGACAAAAAUAAACUAUAUA